GAGAAGAACAUCACCAGAUUCGAUUUCUCUGCUCCUCUGCUCUCAUCUUUGUUCUCUUGCUGUUGUAAAACAAUGAAAGCUAAACACGUGUGUGAUUGUCGAGGAAGUGAACGUGUCAAACACCCAAAGGAGUGACGUCGAUAGAACCGAAACAACAAAGUUUGGAAUAUUUUUGCAAGUUGAAGUUAAAAAAUAAAUUGUUGUAAGGUCCACUAUUCUGAUCUCUUGUCUGAUUUCUUGCGUGUGUGUUUCUUCUCUUCGGAUUCCAUUUUGUUGUUGUUGUCUAUUUACAUACGUAACUUUCACAUGUUAUGAUAUGAUUUUAAAUUAUUUUGGA